rnacentral:rRNA from 1 species
AAACGAUGAGAACUAGCUGUCGGGGCUCUUGGAGCUUCGGUGGCGCAGCUAACGCAUUAAGUUCUCCGCCUGGGGAGUACGGCCGCAAGGUUAAAACUCAAAGGAAUUGACGGGGGCCUGCACAAGCGGUGGAGCAUGUGGUCUAAUUCGAUGCAACGCGAAGAACCUUACCUGGUCUUGACAUGCAUUUUCAUCCGGUGAAAGCCGGUGUCCCGCAAGGGAGAAUUGCACAGGUGCUGCAUGGCUGUCGUCAGCUCGUGUCGUGAGAUGUUGGGUUAAGUCCCGCAACGAGCGCAACCCUUAUGUCUAGUUACACGCCCGCAGGGCUCUCUAGUCAGACUGCCCUGUUCAAGGGGAGGAAGGUGGGGAUGACGUCAAGUCAGGAUGGCCCUUAUGACCAGGGCUGCACACGUACUACAAUGCCCACUACAGAGGGACGCCAAGUCGCGAGACGGAGCCAAUCCCAGAAAAGUGGGCCCAGUUCGGAUUGGAGGCUGCAACUCGCCUCCAUGAAGUCGGAAUCGCUAGUAAUGGCGCAUCAGUACGGCGCCGUGAUACGUUCC